rnacentral:rRNA from 1 species
GACGAACGCUGGCGGCGUGCCUAAUACAUGCAAGUAGAACGCACAGUUUAUACCGUAGCUUGCUACACCAUAGACUGUGAGUUGCGAACGGGUGAGUAACGCGUAGGUAACCUGCCUGGUAGCGGGGGAUAACUAUUGGAAACGAUAGCUAGUACCGCAUAAUAUUAAUUAUUGCAUGAUAAUUAAUUGAAAGGUGCAAUUGCACCACUACCAGAUGGACCUGCGUUGUAUUAGCUAGUAGGUGAGGUAACGGCUCACCUAGGCGACGAUACAUAGCCGACCUGAGAGGGUGAUCGGCCACACUGGGACUGAGACACGGCCCAGACUCCUACGGGAGGCAGCAGUAGGGAAUCUUCGGCAAUGGACGAAAGUCUGACCGAGCAACGCCGCGUGAGUGAAGAAGGUUUUCGGAUCGUAAAGCUCUGUUGUAAGAGAAGAACGGGUGUGAGAGUGGAAAGUUCACACUGUGACGGUAGCUUACCAGAAAGGGACGGCUAACUACGUG